rnacentral:rRNA from 1 species
CAGCAGCCGCGGGAAUACGGAGGGGGCUAGCGUUGUUCGGAAUUACUGGGCGUAAAGCGCACGUAGGCGGCUUGGUAAGUUAGAGGUGAAAGCCUGGAGCUCAACUCCAGAAUUGCCUUUAAGACUGCCGAGCUAGCAGGUGAGAGAGGUAAGUGGAAUUCCGAGUGUAGAGGUGAAAUCCGUAGAUAUUCGGAAGAACACCAGUGGCGAAGGCGGCUUACUGGCUCAUACUGGACGCUGAGGUGCGAAAGCGUGGGGAGCAAACAGGAUUAGAUACCCGCGUAGUCCCUGUCUCUUAUAC